ensembl:lncRNA
GCUGUGAACCCUCUCAUCCCAUCUGCUCCGCAGGGACAGCCAGGCCUUUGGCACUUAACUUUAAUGCAUUCAUUGUGAGUUAAAGCAGCAGUAUUAGGAGGAUGAUUAAGACUUACCAAAGACUAACCAAACGUCUGGUUGUGUUCAGGUAUGUGAAUGCUGCGUGAACAGCUGACUUGGUUUGAGUGUGUCCCAUGGUGAUAAGGCACCCGUGGAUAUCAACUGAAUCUAAAGAGGAAAGUGUGGCUUUCUGGUGUGGAUCCUAUCUGAAGAGUAUUUGAAAUGUUUCACGAGUGACAGACGGAGAUUACAAAGGAACUUUGCCAAGAAUGGAGGGAACAAAGGGAAGUCCGUGAGAGGAAGCACUGGAGAGGAAACGGCUUGCGAUCCUCUUUAAUUAGAGCGCCAGAGUCUCAGGUGACCCUGAAAUGGAAAACGCUGAAGUGUUACAGAGCUGGUUACCCACAUUUGACUCGUUCACCUUGAACAAGGCUACAGUGUUUCUAUGGUGAAAACACGAGUCUGAUAUUUGUGACUUUGGUAAUGGAAGCCAAUGUCUCUCCACUUCCCUGUGUUAAAGGAAUGAUGCAGAUACAGAAAAUUAGAGUGAAAUUACCC